rnacentral:rRNA from 1 species
UGGUGGAGUGAUUUGUCUGGUUAAUUCCGUUAACGAACGAGACCUCAGCCUGCUAAAUAGUCCGCACGAACACCUCGGUGUUCGAUCGGAGCUUCUUAGAGGGACUGUCUGUAUCCAGCAGAAGGAAGUUUGAGGCAAUAACA